CCGGCCACACUGGGACUGAGACACGGCCCAGACUCCUACGGGAGGCAGCAGUGGGGAAUAUUGCACAAUGGGCGAAAGCCUGAUGCAGCGACGCCGCGUGAGGGAUGACGGCCUUCGGGUUGUAAACCUCUUUCAGCAGGGAAGAAGCGAAAGUGACGGUACCUGCAGAAGAAGCGCCGGCUAACUACGUGCCAGCAGCCGCGGUAAUACGUAGGGCGCAAGCGUUGUCCGGAAUUAUUGGGCGUAAAGAGCU
rnacentral:rRNA from 1 species